rnacentral:rRNA from 1 species
GACGAACGCUGGCGGUGUGCUUAACACAUGCAAGUGGAGCGACGAACCAGGGCUUGCCCUGGGGCAGAGCCGCGAACGGGUGAGUAACACGUGGGUAACGUACCCCGAUCACCGGGACAACCCGAGGAAACUCGGGCUAAUACCGGAUGUGUCCGUGAAUCAUGAGGUUCACGUGCAAAGGAAGCUUCGGCCUCCGGAUCGGGAGCGGCCCGCGGCCCAUUAGCCAGUUGGUGGGGUAACGGCCUACCAAAGCGACGAUGGGUAGCUGGUCUGAGAGGACGAUCAGCCACACUGGGACUGAGACACGGCCCAGACUCCUACGGGAGGCAGCAGUGGGGAAUCUUGCGCAAUGCGCGAAAGCGUGACGCAGCAACACCGCGUGAGGGAAGACGGC